GACGAACGCUGGCGGCGUGCUUAACACAUGCAAGUCGAACGGAAAGGCCCUGCUUUUGUGGGGUGCUCGAGUGGCGAACGGGAGAGUAACACGUGAGUAACCUGCCCUUGACUUUGGGAUAACUUCAGGAAACUGGGGCUAAUACCGGAUAGGAGCUCCUGCUGCUUGGUGGGGGUUGGUAAGUUUCGGCGGUUGGGGAUGGACUCGCGGCUUAUCAGCUUGUUGGUGGGGUAGUGGCUUACCAAGGCUUUGACGGGUAGCCGGCCUGAGAGGGUGACCGGCCACAUUGGGACUGAGAUACGGCCCAGACUCCUACGGGAGGCAGCAGUGGGGAAUAUUGCACAAUGGGCGGAAGGCUGAUGCAGCAACGCCGCGUGCGGGAUGACGGCCUUCGGGUUGUAAACCGCGUUCGCCUGGGACGAAGCGUGAGUGACGGUAAUGGGUAAAGAAGCACCGGCUAACUACGUG
rnacentral:rRNA from 1 species